rnacentral:misc_RNA from 1 species
GAUGAAGAACGCAGCGAAAUGCGAUAAGUAGUGUGAAUUGCGGAAUUCAGUGAAUCAUCGAAUCUUUGAACGCACAUUGCGCCCUUUGGUAUUCCAAAGGGCAUGCCUGUUCGAGCGUCAUUUGUACCCUCAAGCUUUGCUUGGUGUUGGGCGUCUUGUCUCUAGCUUUGCUGGAGACUCGCCUUAAAGUAAUUGGCAGCCGGCCUACUGGUUUCGGAGCGCAGCACAAGUCGCACUCUCUAUCAGCAAAGGUCUAGCAUCCAUUAAGCCUUUUUUUCAACUUUUGACCUCGGAUCAGGUAGGGAUACCCGCUGAACUUAAGCAUAUCAAUAAGCGGAGGA